GGAGGGGUGCCAGAGUGGUUGAUUGGGCACGCCUGGAAAGCGUGUGUACCUCACGGUACCGUGGGUUCGAAUCCCACCCCCUCCGCCA
rnacentral:tRNA from 1 species